rnacentral:rRNA from 1 species
AUAAUGGGUCAGCGACUUAUAUUCUGUAGCAAGGUUAACCGAAUAGGGGAGCCGAAGGGAAACCGAGUCUUAACUGGGCGUUAAGUUGCAGGGUAUAGACCCGAAACCCGGUGAUCUAGCCAUGGGCAGGUUGAAGGUUGGGUAACACUAACUGGAGGACCGAACCGACUAAUGUUGAAAAAUUAGCGGAUGACUUGUGGCUGGGGGUGAAAGGCCAAUCAAACCGGGAGAUAGCUGGUUCUCCCCGAAAGCUAUUUAGGUAGCGCCUCGUGAAUUCAUCUCCGGGGGUAGAGCACUGUUUCGGCAAGGGGGUCAUCCCGACUUACCAACCCGAUGCAAACUGCGAAUACCGGAGAAUGUUAUCACGGGAGACACACGGCGGGUGCUAACGUCCGUCGUGAAGAGGGAAACAACCCAGACCGCCAGCUAAGGUCCCAAAGUCAUGGUUAAGUGGGAAACGAUGUGGGAAGGCCCAGACAGCCAGGAUGUUGGCUUAGAAGCAGCCAUCAUUUAAAGAAAGCGUAAUAGCUCACUGGUCGAGUCGGCCUGCGCGGAAGAUGUAACGGGGCUAAACCAUGCACCGAAGCUGCGGCAGCGACGCUGAUGCGUUGUUGGGUAGGGGAGCGUUCUGUAAGCCUGUGAAGGUGUGCUGUGAGGCAUGCUGGAGGUAUCAGAAGUGCGAAUGCUGACAUAAGUAACGAUAAAGCGGGUGAAAAGCCCGCUCGCCGGAAGACCAAGGGUUCCUGUCCAACGUUAAUCGGGGCAGGGUGAGUCGACCCCUAAGGCGAGGCCGAAAGGCGUAGUCGAUGGGAAACAGGUUAAUAUUCCUGUACUUGGUGUUACUGCGAAGGGGGGACGGAGAAGGCUAUGUUGGCCGGGCGACGGUUGUCCCGGUUUAAGCGUGUAGGCUGGUUUUCCAGGCAAAUCCGGAAAAUCAAGGCUGAGGCGUGAUGACGAGGCACUACGGUGCUGAAGCAACAAAUGCCCUGCUUCCAGGAAAAGCCUCUAAGCAUCAGGUAACAUCAAAUCGUACCCCAAACCGACACAGGUGGUCAGGUAGAGAAUACCAAGGCGCUUGAGAGAACUCGGGUGAAGGAACUAGGCAAAAUGGUGCCGUAACUUCGGGAGAAGGCACGCUGAUAUGUAGGUGAAGUCCCUCGCGGAUGGAGCUGAAAUCAGUCGAAGAUACCAGCUGGCUGCAACUGUUUAUUAAAAACACAGCACUGUGCAAACACGAAAGUGGACGUAUACGGUGUGACGCCUGCCCGGUGCCGGAAGGUUAAUUGAUGGGGUCAGCGCAAGCGAAGCUCUUGAUCGAAGCCCCGGUAAACGGCGGCCGUAACUAUAACGGUCCUAAGGUAGCGAAAUUCCUUGUCGGGUAAGUUCCGACCUGCACGAAUGGCGUAAUGAUGGCCAGGCUGUCU